ACGUAGGGAGCAAGCGUUAUCCGGAUUUACUGGGUGUAAAGGGCGCGCAGGCGGGCCGGCAAGUUGGAAGUGAAAUCCCGGGGCUUAACCCCGGAACUGCUUUCAAAACUGCUGGUCUUGAGUGAUGGAGAGGCAGGCGGAAUUCCGUGUGUAGCGGUGAAAUGCGUAGAUAUACGGAGGAACACCAGUGGCGAAGGCGGCCUGCUGGACAUUAACUGACGCUGAGGCGCGAAAGCGUGGGGAGCAAACAGG
rnacentral:rRNA from 1 species